rnacentral:rRNA from 1 species
CAUAGCGACUAUCGUGGCAUAUCAAUAAGCGGAGGAAAAGUAACUAACAAGGAUUCCCUUAGUAACGGCGAGUGAAGCGGGAAGAGCUCAAAUUUGAAAUCUUCAAGGUUCUACCUUGACGAAUUGUAGUUUAUAAGAAGUGUUUUCUGUUAGUAGAGUGACAAAAGUUCUUUGGAAUAGGACAUCAUAGAGGGUGAGAAUCCCGUAUUUGGUCAUUCCUUCCUAGCUUUGUGAUACACUUUCAAAGAGUCGGAUUGUUUGGGAAUGCAGUCCCAAAAUGGGUGGUAAAUUUCAUCUAAAGCUAAAUAUUGGCGAGAGACCGAUAGCGAACAGGUACCGUGAGGGAAAGAUGAAAAGAACUUUGAAAAGAGAGUUAAACAGUACGUGAAAUUGUCAAAAGGGAAGCGUUUGACACCAGUGUUGUUUUUCCGAAAAUCAAUUACGAAUGUUUUAUUUUUGAGAAGUUAUGACUUCAUCGGCUUGCUUCUCUCUUUAUGAAACUUUCUUAAUGCACUUUUCGGUUAACAAGUCAACAUCAAUUUCUUUUGUUGUAAAAGGGUAUGAGGAAGGUGGCUUUCUUUUCGGAGAAAGUGUUUAUAGCCUUGUACCUCUGCAAUCGGAGAGAUUGAGGUCUGCAGCGUAGAUCCUUCGGGGUUAGAUACAUUUGUGCUAAGUUAUAGUCUUGUCAUAGACAACUUGUUGACUAUGUUAAGUCAUUGUAGCUUACUCGUUGACUGCUAUUUUACCUACGCUUAGGAUGUUGAUAUGCAUGACUGAUAU